CUCGAGCUGCGGUUAAAGCUGCUGUGAUCGAUACUGAUCGAUCAGAGGACGACGUCACUCCGUCCCCUGCCGUGGCGAUGUAUAUGUGACGUCAGUCCGGCGGCAGAGCUCCGUCCUGAUUGGUUCACACCUUCUCGUGAGCGUCACCCGGCCCCGCCUACAUCUCCACCGUGGUGAUGAGCGUCAACAUGGAGAUGGCUUCCGUUGCUGCCUUCAGGGCCGAUGGGAGAGAACGGAACGCAACCGACUCGUUUCCGGUAUUUUUCGCCUCAAAUUUGACCCGUGAUGAAGUUUUUGCUUUUAUUAUUUUUUAUUAAAUACAAUUAAUACGACUGGAUUUAAGUAAAUAAAGGAAAGUAUGUAAAUAUAAAUGAAUAGUUUAUAUCAAACAAGAUAAAUAGGGGAGAAAAAAAAAUCUCUUUCAAAUAAAUGUCAAAACAUGUUUUAAGAGAGAAUUUUAAAAAAUAGCUUAUGUGAUGUCUAUGUACAGCUUUUUUAAUUAAUUUGGUAUUAAUAUUUGUAUUUUAUGUCUGUUUAUUUUAUUGUUUGAUUGGUGAUAACAGUGAAUAUGACCCCAGUCUGUGUUGCGUUUGUUGGACUUUAAUGUUAUUUAGCUUUGCUGUUAAAGCACUUUGUUUACUCUGUUCUUCUCUUCUCUGGCUUCAUACGUCACAAAAUGGACCAGUUGUAAUUUUAAGCACAACAUUCGUCUCUUGAAAGAAGAUUCCCUGGAUGUUUGUUAAAUUCGUGAUAAAUAAUAAUGACACAUAA